UACGUAGGGUGCAAGCGUUAAUCGGAAUUACUGGGCGUAAAGCGUGCGCAGGCGGUUGUGCAAGACCGAUGUGAAAUCCCCGGGCUUAACCUGGGAAUGGCAUUUGGGACUGCAAGGCUGGAGUGUGGCAGAGGAGACUGGAAUUCCUGGUGUAGCAGUGAAAUGCGUAGAUAUCAAGAGGAACACCAGUGGCGAAGGCGAGUCCCUGGACAACACCUGACACUGAGGCACGAAAGCCGGGGGAGCAAACAGG
rnacentral:rRNA from 1 species